UAAUUUGCAAUUUUCUUCCGGUAGCGGUUAUGAAACAUCGCGAAGUUUCUUGAUCGUUAGCUUGAAUGUAAACGUGGAAAAUGUGAGUGUUUUAUUGACGAAGAUAAUUAAGACUGGAUGAAGGCGAAAUCGUAAUAAUGAAAUUAUUGCAUUGUGCAAUAAAAAUUAAACCUACGAGCGACCUGACCGUCGUUAGAGAGUUUUCGCAGAAAAACAAUGGAAGGUUAAUUAGAAGAGAUGCAACCAGGCUGAUGAACUCCAUUGAACUUUGGUCCUGAGAGUUUGUUGGCUCAAUUUAACGCGAAAGGGGCGAGUUUGGAGAAGUUGUGCGUCUUUCCUUUUGAAAGGAAAACGUGCACAGCCAUCCCGUUCCCACCCUUCUUCAAAUCGCGGAACUACAAUAGGAGAAACGUUUAUUCUUGGCUCUGUUCUCCAACGAAUGAUUUAAUCCCUUCGGCUGUAACGAUUCUGUUCUUCAAACCUUAUCCUUUGUGCCUUGAAUCGGGGUCAGAUUUAGAACUCUAUGUAUAUGUAUAUAUGUGUAUGUAUGCGCGCGUGUGUAACGUUAUACAUUCCAUAAUUAAUGAAUUUUUUAAUUAAAUUUUCAGUUUAUUCGUCUAUAUUCUGUCGUUCAUUUUAAAAUGCGACAUCGAUUUUUCUGAAUAGAAAAGGAUGUUUCUGUAAAAAAAAGAAGGAAACACGAAAUUUCUUUGGAAGUAAUUGUUUGUCAUAAUUUGGCAUAGUUCUAAUGCAUUGAAUCUAAAGGAAUUUUUACAGAUUUAAUAAGGAACGGAUUUUCUUCAAUAAAGUUAUUAAUUAUAAACUUCAUUUGUAAACAUCACCAAAAAAUCUAAAAUCCUUUAGCCACUUACAAUAUCUUCUGUUUCAUUUCUAGAGUUAAAUAAAUUAAGUACGAAAAAUUCAUAAAUUAACUACAGCACUCAGUAUUCAAUUUUUAAAUAGUACUCAA